GAUCCUUCAGGAAACCUUCUCUGCGGACCGUUCUCCUCUGCUGCAAUAAAAGCUCCUUUUUUAUUUUAUUUUUGCCAAAACGUAAGGAAUUCUUCUCACUCUGCAUCUGGGAGAGGUCAACAGCUCCUCUAACCAGUAAAUCCACGCCUGAGAGUUGAGGAUUGCAGAUUAAUUAAAUUCAUUUUCCAUGACGAUUCCCAGUCUCCAAUACAAGGCUGAGGAAUUCAUCGCGUGCUCAGCUGGCUGUGCACUGAAGCUGCAGCAAUUUCAAAGGCUUCCGCUCCCUGUGCAGAGUGGAGCAGCUGCAAGAAUAGUUUUUUGAAGAGGAAAUGGCACCCAAUGGGACUGGCAGGCGGCUGCGAGCCGAGCUCAAACAGCCCCCGAAGUCCUUGGGAGCAUCUGAGGACAUCAAAAGACAAAAGAUCCAGGCUGGGAAAAGCCUGAAGAAUUAAUUUAACAGAAUCCCCCCCCAACCCUGGAGCUUUCUUCUUGCAAACAGUGCAUCUGGGAAGAAGUCUUCCUCACAUUUGGUUCUGAUGAUCCCACUCCCAUUGAAACGCUGGAAAUACAGGGCUGCACGAGGGGCAGUCGCAUUCCUUGUUAGUUUUUUAAGUUACAAGUGUUUAAAUGGAUAAAUCUAUAUAAAAAAAACUGCAGUCCUGUAUAUCGUUAAAAAGCUAAUAUAUUUCUAUUAAUAUAAAUGUAGUUAAUAUAAAUAAGCAUACUGCCAUAUUUCAAUGUGACCGUAAACUACUCACGGUGCUUCAUGCAUGUGUAAGUGGUUAACAGAUGGACUCAUUGACAUGAUUGAUCUCAAUAAAACUGUACUUUUUAUGAUAGCUGGCAAACAUUCCUCUGUUAUUUAGAACACAGCACACACAUUCUUCCUAUCUUGUUUAAGAGAUGUAUAGAAAACAGUACCUUUGUUUCAUAUACAUGAGCUUGUGCACAGGUGCACACGUCCUCUCCUCCCAAAGUGUGUAAGGUCAGUGACUUGGAGUCGAACUUUGUAACCUAUGUGAACGUCUAGAGCUGAUCCAACAGGCUUCAGACUGAGCAGCAGGGCAUUCGCUGAAGCCCUGUGGCCACUGCCACUCCUGCAGGACUACCAUAGCUGAAGCACGCUCUUGAAACAGCAGUCAAUUUUCAUGGCAGGCUCACAGAUCAGAACUAUUAGACCAAACGCAUGUUCUUUUCUGAAAGCUGCAUGCUUCCUUAAUUCCCUAUGUAUAAAUAGAUGCCAUUUUACUAGACUCUGCUACCGCACAUCAUCGAGAAGUUGUCUAGAAAAAGAACUGACACAACACAUCCUGCAAAAGCCUCUUCUUUGUCAGAUUGCACUAAUUAUACACCCACUGCAUCAAACUUCUCCAUCUUUGUCCUCCUAACUGGCAAAUUCUGUCUUUCCCCAUCAAUUUCACACCACUCUUCUCUCUCUUCACUUCUGAAUUUUGCUUUUCGAUGAAUUUAAGUUCACAUACGUACAAGUCUGAGUUAAGCAGUGUGCAGACAUAUUGUGCAUGCCUGUUUGUGCACCCAACUCUGCACACCAAUUGUCACAGAUCUGGGCAGUCUUUUUUCUGAGACCUUGCUGUGUUCGGCAGGACAACACGGCGUACUGUCAGGAACUGCCCUGAAACAAUUUUGCUCUAUUAUCAGUUUUACUUUGUGAUUAACAUUAUGCCACACUGUUCUGGUAUUGUCCAACAAAUUAUGAUAUGGCAUUAUAUUGUGACUAUUUAUUAUACAUUACUAUGAAUCAACUAAUAAACUUAA